rnacentral:lncRNA from 1 species
UCUGAAGUUCCUUCUCUUACUCCUGGAGUCUGCAAUGUGGAGUUUUCGGUUCUAGAGCUUUGAGGAUUGCUAGGGCCUACUUGAGAAACAGUCUGGAAGCCAAGGCUCUCCCUAUGCUGGUGUUUGGGGACUUGCUGGUUCUGUAUGGUGCGCCUGAGCACAUGGUAUAGUUAGCUAUUUUGACUGAACUUGGGGCUCAAGGUCAGGGUGACUCAAGCAGACUCUCCCUUGGCAAAACUAGGGCUAGUAUGUACCUUUAUGGGGAAUGUUUUUCUAUAAAAAUUCCUAUGGGUGCUUUAGUUAUUCACGGCUGUGAUGAAAUGCCUCAGCAAGACAAUUGAAAGGAAGUAGUUAUUUUGGCUCACGGCCUUAGAGGUUUCCAUUGGAUUCUUUGGCUUUAGCUGGCUUCUGGGCCUGUGGGGAGGCAGAGAAUCACUGUGAAAGGGAAGGAGAAGCAAAGCCAUUCCCUCGAUGCAUGGUGGCUGGGAUGCAGAAAGAGACAGGAGAGACUGGGCAUGAAAACCCUCCUUAAGUGCACGUCUCUGGGAACUAACGUCUUUCAACUUGACCCUCACUUCUGUAUUUCUACUUCCUCCCAACAGUCUCUUCAGAAUCUAAAUGCAUAAAUGUGUCUGUGGCUAUGCGGCAUGAGACACAAACCACAAGGCCCCCAGUAGCCUGAAGCAUCCCCUUAUUCUUCAGGGACCUUCACUCAUGUGAAGCCAUCUUUGACUUCACUACAGAAAACAAUUUCAAGAUGAGCCAGAACGAAGCAGAGUUGGGUUUAUUAAAAAUGUAAAGAGUAUUUAGCAUAGUUUUAAACAUAUGGGGUUACUAUAAAAAGAUGCCCAGAGAGGAAGAAGAUAUCCAGAGAGGGUGGUGUGGGCUUCUUCAAGGACAAUAGCUCUUAAGUAUCUUAGCCAUCCCCAAAAGUCCUGCUUGGCUGCUCUCAAGUUACAGCUCGCAUGAUUACUAAGAGCAGACACCCCCUCCCCAUCUGUAUCUUUUUGAUAAGUGAAAUUACCAGAUGGCUCCAUAUGAUUACAAUAUUAUAAAAAUAAUCCAUGAGCCACAAGGCUGCAAGGAUGAAGGCAUGCAUGUCUUUCACUGCCAGGGGAACUUCUAGUGAAAUUCUGAGAAAACGUACAGCUUUCAGUUGGGACAGGAGAAAGGUUGUGCACACAUAGCAUGACUUGUUACUAUCUUAAUAUUGUCAUUUAAAUAUUUCUCUAUAAAAUGUCUCUGAAUGCCUUUGCAGCAAAUGUCAAUUGUGCUUGACUUCUUGAGCUGGUGAGAGUCUUUGAGCAGAUCGGGGUGAGGGGUUCCUUUCCUACAUUUCCAUAACUUGCCUUGUUUUUCUGUCCUGCCUAAUAUGAGUUAAGCUGUUGCUUUGUUUAAAGCUCUCAUGAUCUGAUCAUCUCUGGAAAUACUCUUACAGACACAUAGGGAUUGUCAUGUCCUAAUUUCCUUGGUGUCUCUCAAUCGAAUUGAAUUGAUAAACAAGAUUGACCACCAUACCACGUUACUAAGUAGAUACAAAGAGGGACAAUGUAUGUGUGUGUGUGUGUGUGUGUGUGUGUGUGUGUGUGUGUGUGUGUGAUGGAGUAACAGGAUGAAUAGCAGCCCAUUGGAGGUUGCAAUAAAAAAAUACACAUGGGCAGCUGAGCCUCUGGGUCUAGCAGAUGGUUUGAUCAUGACUAUAAGUAAGCAAUCUACACAAGAAUGAUCAGCCAAGGCUCAGGGGACCACAGUGGUUGUGACAUGUGAGCUGUAACUUAAGAACAAUCACAGAACAGUGGCUGAUACAAUUCCAGUGUGCAUACCUUAGGAGCCCAGAUCUUCAGAGCAGUGAGGAGGCAGGUGUAAGCUGAACAUAUUUUCAGGAGAUCUCAGAGCCAGAUGUUGAAGGCUCAGUAGAUAUAGGUCAGCACAUGACAGAGGCUUCAUGGGAGCAAGAGAUGUGAUUGGUAUUGAGUCAGGUCC